rnacentral:rRNA from 1 species
UUUAAAGAGAGUUUGAUCCUGGCUCAGGACGAACGCUGGCGGCGUGCCUAAUACAUGCAAGUCGAACGAACGGAGGAAGAGCUUGCUCUUCCAAUGUUAGUGGCGGACGGGUGAGUAACACGUGGGCAACCUGCCUGUAAGUUGGGGAUAACUCCGGGAAACCGGGGCUAAUACCGAAUGAUAAAGUGUGGCGCAUGCCACGCUUUUGAAAGAUGGUUUCGGCUAUCGCUUACAGAUGGGCCCGCGGUGCAUUAGCUAGUUGGUAGGGUAAUGGCCUACCAAGGCAACGAUGCAUAGCCGACCUGAGAGGGUGAUCGGCCACACUGGGACUGAGACACGGCCCAGACUCCUACGGGAGGCAGCAGUAGGGAAUCUUCCGCAAUGGACGAAAGUCUGACGGAGCAACGCCGCGUGUAUGAAGAAGGUUUUCGGAUCGUAAAGUACUGUUGUUAGAGAAGAACAAGGAUAAGAGUAACUGCUUGUCCCUUGACGG